ACGGGAGGCAGCAGUAGGGAAUUUUCGGCAAUGGGCGGAAGCCUGACCGAGCAACGCCGCGUGAACGAAGAAGUAUUUCGGUAUGUAAAGUUCUUUUAUUUGGGACGAAAAGACAGAUUGACGGUACCAAAUGAAUAAGCCCCGGCUAACUAUGUGCCAGCAGCCGCGGUAAUACAUAGGGGGCAAGCGUUAUCCGGAAUUAUUGGGCGUAAAGGGUGCGUAGGUGGCAGUGAAAGUCUUUGGUUAAAAUUCUGGGCUCAACCCAGUCAUGCCAAAGAAACUUCACAGCUAGAGUAUGGUAGAGGUGAGUGGAAUUCCAUGUGUAGCGGUAAAAUGCGUAAAUAUAUGGAGGAACACCAGUGGCGAAGGCGGCUCACUAGACCGAGACUGACACUGAGGCACGAAAGCGUGGGGAGCAAACAGGAUUAGAUACCCUGGUA
rnacentral:rRNA from 1 species